rnacentral:lncRNA from 1 species
GUGAUUUCCCCUCGUCUGUUAAUUGCUAAAUCUUUCCUAUUCUGUUUCCUUGUUUAAGAGAGAACCCAAUUGAAUAUACACACGUUUGAUAAUUAACUGUGUAAAGAAAUCCGUACAGUAUUCUUUAUUAAAUUCACCUGCAAAAUAUAAAUCAACGUUUGCAAUUAAAAAUCUAGAAAUUCUCUUGAAGCUGUCAUUGUCCACUCAGACUCCAGUCCUCACUGCUUCAUCAUAUUCUCACAUUUUCCUCGGUGACUCUCUCUAUAUAUAUACAUAUAUUUCUAUGUGAGUAUUAUAUUUACUUAAGCAUUUCUAUUGUAUAUGUGUCAUUUUACGUACAUUUGCUUAUUCUGACGUUAAAUUAAAAGAAUCUCACUAAACAAAGCCAAAAUUAUAUGAAAGUAAGGCUGACAUUCGAAUAAUUUUGUUUUAUUUUCUUUUAGACAUUCCGUUCCAGUUUUGGUUAUUUCUUACAUUGCUUUGUGUCAGUGCAAUACCUUGUUUACACAACAUUUUCCUUUAUUUUUGGCUUGUAAAUCUAAGAAUUUAUUUAAAUGCAGGGAAAUUACGAUGUAAUUACUGAAAAAUGGAGAAUAUAUAAAAAUUAGAUUGUGCAUUCGAAAUACUGAAACGAAAAGAGGAUGGUUCACUGAAGAAAUGGAACGGCAUUUGUGUGAAACAUUAAAAGAAAUGUCUUUAUUUUUGCUAGUUCUUCUCCGUCAUUACAAUUUACAACUUAUAUAUAUAUUUACAACUUAUAUAUAUAUGGGUACUACUAGCAAAGACUGGACCGGUGUGCGCUAGCUAGUCGUAAGUAGUCGAUCCUACAACGACUUGCGCGUAUGCAAAUGAGUUGAUUUUACAGAAUAAAAUAAAAGAAAUUUUUAAAGAAAAUAAAUAAAUUAUUUCUUUGAACAAUGGAUUUGAUUUUUUUUACACAAAUCAAAUAAAAUGUGUGUGAUAUAUUCUUUUACUAGUUUUUAGUUUUUGGACAGCAUCCAUGGUAGGUACAUCAUUCAGGUAUAUAUGUACACAUAUAUAUAUAUAUAUAUGUGUGUGUGUAUGUGUGUAUAUAUAUGUUUUGUUUAUUUUGGUUUGUUUUGAUGUUUUCUUGUUUGUUUAUUUACACUAAACUACCACCACCACCACCCUUGUCUUGAUCAUUAAUUAGACCCAUUGACUAUCGUACGUCUGGCGCGAAUUCGCGUGUGCCAAACCGGGUCCACUACACUUGCCAAGUACCUCUUUUUUCUAUUCUGUUUCCUUGUUUAAGAGAGAACCCAAUUGAAUAUACACACGUUUGAUAAUUAACUGUGUACAGUAUUCUUUAUUAAAUUCACCUGCAAAAUAUAAAUCAACGUUUGCAAUUAAAAAUCUAGAAAUUCUCUUGAAGCUGUCAUUGUCCCUCAGACUCCAGUCCUCACUGCUUCAUCAUAUUCUCACAUUUUCCUCAGUGACUCUCUCUCUAUAUAUAUACAUAUAUUUCUAUGUGAGUAUUAUAUUUACUUAAGCAUUUCUAUUGUAUAUGUGUCAUUUUACGUACAUUUGCUUAUUCUGACGUGUUGAAUAAUUAAAUUAAAAGAAUCUCACCAAACAAAGCCGAAAUUAUAUGAAAGUAAGGCUGACAUUCGAAUACUUUUGUUUUAUUUUCUUUUAGACAUUCCGUUCCAGUUUUGGUUUUUCUUACAUUGCUUGUGUCAGGGCAAUACCUCGUUUACACAACAUUUUCCUUUAUUUUUGGCUUGUAAAUCUAAGAAUUUAGUUAAAUGCUUGGGAAAUUACGAUGUAAUUUCUGAAAAAUGGAGAAUAUAUAAAAUUUGUGCACUCGAAAUACUGAAACGAAAAGAGGAUGGUUCACACAUGGAUCGGCAUUUUUUGGGAAACAUUUAAAAAAUGUCUUUAUUUUUGCUAGUUCUUCUCCGUUAUUACAAUUUACUACUUAUAUAUAUGAGGGGUACAAGGAAGUCUUGUCAAUAAUUUGAAAAGGCAGAAAAGAAAAGAAAAAUUAGGAAUAAUUGCUAAAGGAUGUGUAUUGUGAUGAAGAAAACGAACGAUUUAAGUAAAAUAAGAAAAAACAUCUCAAAUAUAGAUAUAUAUAGAUAUAUUCGUAUUUUUUAUUAAUUACUUCAGAAAUGCGGCAGACCCCCUCCCCUUAAAAAUUUUUUUUUUUGACACAACACCACUUUUUGACUGCAGGGAAUACGACUCUGCAAAAAAUGGCAUGUUUUAAUUAUCCACCACACCCCCAUUUCCUUCAUUUUUUUUUACUUUCUUCAGAAGUUUUUUUUUUUGAAAAUAUGCAGAAAAAUACGGAAGUUAUGAUUCGGAAAAAAAAUUUCGAAAAACUUUUAUGAAUUGUCUUUUUAAAAUUUUUUUUCUAAAUAUGCAGAAAAAUACAUAUAUAUUAUGAUGCGGAAAAAAAUUUCAAAACAUUUCUGUAGUUACGGUUAAGAUUAGGGUUUUAGGGUUAAGGUUAAGGUCUUCGGGUCAGUCUGUGGUAACAUGACUCCCCAUCAAAGGCUCAGUAGAACUGCACAGAUGUGACAGCACACAUGAGCUUGAGGCUGACCUCAUGCACUUCUCAUGAGGGAAUUCUGGAAAAGGAGCUUCGUGAGACCACUACUGAGAUGCUUCCAAAAAGAAAAAAAAAAGCCACUGGAAAACCGAUUAUAGCAGUGACUCGAUCAAUUCCAGGAUAUCUGAAGAAGGAAUUUUUUAUAUUCCGAAAUAUUAUAUCAGACUAUGGACGAUUAAAUUACAACGGUUAUUAUAAGCCGUUGUUGUGCCAUUCAAUGCAUUAUUUUUACAAAUGCCAAUGCUUCAAGCGAACUGCAAUGUUCCCCUAAAGGUUCAGUCUUUGAAGUUGAAAACCUCUCCCUUGUGAAUGUCGAAACACUGUUGACCGUUUUCUUUGACUCAGGGGAUUGUUCAUGUGAGUAUGCUCCACAUGGUCAGACAGUAAACCAGGAGUUCUCGCUGACGUUUCGGGAUGCUAUUCAUUGGAAAGGGCCACAAUUCGAUGCCUCUGGUGAGUGACACCUAUUCCGGGCAAAACAGGUGUGAUAUCUGUGUUACUUGUUCCUUCUCGAGCCAUGCCUGGCUCAUAAGGGCUAGUUUCCUUAGUGUAUAGAUUCCCCCCACCUAGACAAGCUGGUCCGUCGAAGGUGAGCUGCAAGAUGCAGGAGGAAAAGUGAAGAAAGAUGUAGCGAAGUCAGCAAGAAGUUCGCCAUUACCUUUUGCCGGAGCCACGCAUGGAGCUUAGGUGUUUCACUCAUAAACACACGCAUUGCUUGGUCUGAGAUUUGAACCUGUGAUCCCUCAACCAUGGGUCCGCUAGGCCAUGUGCCUCCACAUCUGUGUUGACAAGACUCGAGGUGAAAACAUUGGUUAUCUAGGCCAUUGACAUCUAUAUUGGUGUGUGUGUGAGAGAGAAAGAGCGUGUGUGUCACAGAUUUAAUGUCCAGGAGUUGCAAUUAUAAUUAUUGAAUCUGCUCGUAAUUUAUUAACUUUUGGGUAAGUUUAUUAGUUUGAAUGCAGGUUUACUUCUACAAUCCAUUAAAACAGAAAUAUAGCAUAAAAUUGCAUUUGAAUAUCUGCCUUUUAAACUUAUUCUAUGCCUUAUAUUAUUUUUUUAUUCUUUCAGAAAAUCACACGAAAUUGGCAUAACAGUAAAUUAUACUUUUAAAGAAUCAUCAAUAUGCAUCAUGUGUUGAAAGACUCUGCAAAGAUAUUCUACAAACGUAUACUCCUGCUUCUAUAAAACAUUGCUGAGUUACAUUAAAUAUUUCCCCUGAGAGAGAAAGCAUUUCUUUACUUCUGUGUCUGAAAUGU